UCAUAUAGUCCACAAGAUUCUCUUCUUGCAGCAUAAACUGCCCUUGGUAUCCUUUUUGAUUGCAGAUUCCGGUAAAAUUUCAUUGUUACCGGUUGGUUUGCUUGCACAGCUGCAUGAACUCAAAUUGCUUUGUCCAGUGGUUUCCUGACUCUUGCAGGCUGCAGUCCAUUGUAUCCAGUCAUAAAGAGAGGGAAUGAAAACUACAUCAAAAUGCCAAUAAAGGUAGAAGACCACAGAUUCUGGCUGCACGGCAAGCUGACCUGACCUACUCAGAAAGCUGGAUGGCCUAUUGCAUAAAGCCAUCUUCCUCUGAUGGAGUUCCAGCCCUCCACAGCAGGGACUUGUGGAGCACUCCUGUAAAUGACCCUGAUUAUCACUUUCAUAAAUGAUUCUGCGUUUUCCAACCUAAUGGGUAAUGAUGUGAAAGACACUGAACAAGAUUUUUAAUUAUAGCAAAUGGAAUCCAUGCUCCCUAAUCGGAUUGCUGGAUAGGUGGCUAUUAUUCACUGCUAAAGGUUAAAACAUUAAACUUCUGCUUGUCAUCGGGCAGACUAUUCAUAAAAGCACUGGCUAGUUGUUUGUUGUUUUUAAAUUACCAGCUCUUGUGGAAGCUCGUAGAUCAGUUUUCCAGUCCUGUCUGAAUGUAUCAAGUCAAUAGGUGCAAGAGGAUAGCAGCAUAAGGCACAAAUAUCCAUCAUCUAAUAUGAAUAAAUCUAGGGUCAGU